GUGCUUGCUUCAGCAGCACACAUACUAAAAUUGGAAUGAUACAGAGAAGAUUAGCAUGGCUCCUGCAUAAGGAUGUCAAGCAAAUUUGUGAAGCAUUCCACUUUUUU
rfam:Neotoma lepida isolate 417 scaffold_249, whole genome shotgun sequence.